GAUGAACGCUGGCGGCGUGCCUAAUACAUGCAAGUCGAGCGAACAGACGAGGAGCUUGCUCCUCUGACGUUAGCGGCGGACGGGUGAGUAACACGUGGAUAACCUACCUAUAAGACUGGGAUAACUUCGGGAAACCGGAGCUAAUACCGGAUAAUAUAUUGAACCGCAUGGUUCAAUAGUGAAAGACGGUUUUGCUGUCUCUUAUAGAUGGAUCCGCGCCGCAUUAGCUAGUUGGUAAGGUAACGGCUUACCAAGGCAACGAUGCGUAGCCGACCUGAGAGGGUGAUCGGCCACACUGGAACUGAGACACGGUUCAGACUCCUACGGGAGGCAGCAGUAGGGAAUCUUCCGCAAUGGGCGAAAGCUUGACGGAGCAACGCCGCGUGAGUGAUGAAGGUCUUCGGAUCGUAAAACUCUGUUAUUAGGGAAGAACAAAUGUGUAAGUAACUAUGCACGUCUUGACGGUACCUAAUCAGAAAGCCACGGCUAACUACGUG
rnacentral:rRNA from 1 species